CUGCCAGAAUUCAUAUGCUUGUCCCGAAGACUUAAGCCAUGCAUGCCAACGACAAAUUGGUCCAUGGGGUUAGAUGGUUAUCCUCACCCCGUGGGUCAAGGAAUCAGCGAACGGCUCCGCAUAUCUGUUGUUACCUAUCGUGGUAAAUAAGGCGUGGAUAUAGCACGGAAAAGCUGUGUGUAACACAGUUGGUCAUGAGGUACACGCCUACAUAAUAUGGUAAAAUUGAUGGGCCUAAGUGGGUACCCCCCCACCUCUUACGUGUUCCCAUAGUAGCACUUCCGCUGUCCAUAUCAUGGUGGGGCGGUCGUCCGAAACGGAGGCCUCUAAUCCACCUUAGCCGAGCAAAUGCCACCACCCCCUCACAGGAUGAGUGUUUAGCAAGGCGGGUGGUCUCAGAGAUUAACCACAAGCGCACGAUGGGCUUCAGACCUAUCAGCUAGAUGGUAGGGUAUUGGCCUACCAUGGCGAUGACGGGUACAGAGGAUUAGGGUUUGAUCCUGGAGAGGUAGCCUGAGAAAUCGCUCCCACUUCUAAGGAAGGCAGCAGGCGCGUAACGUUCCCAAUGCUAUUUUUUAAAACUAGUGAGGACGUAAUGGGACAUAACAAUGCCUCCAGUGAUGAGUAUGGUGGUGUAAUGCACAA
rnacentral:rRNA from 1 species